rnacentral:rRNA from 1 species
AUUGAACGCUGGCGGCAGGCCUAACACAUGCAAGUCGAGCGGAGCGGCGGACGGGUGAGAAAUGCCUAGGAAUCUGCCUGGUAGUGGGGGAUAACGUCCGGAAACGGGCGCUAAUACCGCAUCCUAUCAGAUGAGCCUAGGUCGGAUUAACUAGUUGGUGGGUGAAGGGCCUACCAAGGCGACGAUCCGUAACUGGUCUGAGAGGAUGAUCAGUCGCACUGGAACUGAGACACGGUCCAGACUCCUACGUGAGGCAGCAGUGGGGAAUAUUGGACAAUGGGCGAAAGCCUGAUCCAGCCAUGCCGCGUGUGUGAAGAAGGUCUUCGGAUUGUAAAGCACUUUAAGUUGGGAGGCGUUACCAACAGAAUAAGCAACGGCUAACUUCGUGCCAGCAGCCGCGGUAAUUC